UGCGUGAAGUUGGAAUCGCUAGUAAUCGCGGAUCAGCAUGCUGCGGUGAAUACGUUCCCGGGCCUUGUACACACCGCCCGUCACACCAUGAGAGUCGGGAACACCCGAAGUCCGUAGCCUGACCGCAAGGGGGCGCGGCCGAAGGUGGGUUCGAUAAUUGGGGUGAAGUCGUAACAAGGUACC
rnacentral:rRNA from 1 species